UGGGCGUAAGGGCUCGCAGGCGGUUUCUUAAGUCUGAUGUGAAAGCCCCCGGCUCAACCGGGGAGGGUCAUUGGAAACUGGGAAACUUGAGUGCAGAAGAGGAGAGUGGAAUUCCACGUGUAGCGGUGAAAUGCGUAGAGAUGUGGAGGAACACCAGUGGCGAAGGCGACUCUCUGGUCUGUAACUGACGCUGAGGAGCGAAAGCGUGGGGAGCGAACAGGAUUAGAUACCCUGGUAGUCCACGCCGUAAACGAUGAGUGCUAAGUGUUAGGGGGUUUCCGCCCCUUAGUGCUGCAGCUAACGCAUUAAGCACUCCGCCUGGGGAGUACGGUCGCAAGACUGAAACUCAAAGGAAUUGACGGGGGCCCGCACAAGCGGUGGAGCAUGUGGUUUAAUUCGAAGCAACGCGAAGAACCUUACCAGGUCUUGACAUCCUCUGACAACCCUAGAGAUAGGGCUUUCCCUUCGGGGACAGAGUGACAGGUGGUGCAUGGUUGUCGUCAGCUCGUGUCGUGAGAUGUUGGGUUAAGUCCCGCAACGAGCGCAACCCUUGAUCUUAGUUGCCAGCAUUCAGUUGGGCACUCUAAGGUGACUGCCGGUGACAAACCGGAGGAAGGUGGGGAUGACGUCAAAUCAUCAUGCCCCUUAUGACCUGGGCUACACACGUGC
rnacentral:rRNA from 1 species